rnacentral:lncRNA from 1 species
UGGGAGGAGUCUAGCCUUAAGGUCAGAAGCUUGGGACAUAGUCUACAUGACUACUAGCCACACACUUUGACAGGAGCCUUGAGUCCAGAAGACAUGAGAGAACUCCUACCUUCCCAUGUAGAAGCUAAGGACGAAGAGUGGAAGGUGGUUUACUGUCCAGCCAUCUGCAAUGCAGAAGAUGCUGAACGCAGGAACAUAAGCCAAGGAACAGUCGACAUGGCAUUGGCAGUAAUGAUUGACUGAAAAUGGAAACCCCACCUCAGCUACCCUCAGAUGCACUAACGAGAGCCUCGAUGCCUCCCUGUGGCGGACUGUUAUUGAUGCCUUCAUGUAUUUGAUUAAUUGACAACUUCAUACAUGCAUACAAUCCAUUUUGAUUAUUUACAUCAUAUCUCCUCCCCUGCCUAUGUUCAUGUCUUCUUAUUUUUAUAACUCACCAAGUACAAUGUAUGCAGCCAUAUACUCAUGGGUAUGAGGCCACUCACUGGAGCACGGGGACCUACCAGAGGCUACGCCCAUCAGGAACUGACUCUCCUGCCACCAGUAUUCAUCAACUGUCAACAGCUCUUCAGUUCUAGAGUGCUAUAGCACCCCUUAUUUAUUUAUUAAACCACUCUGUCACAAGAAACAGUGUUUUCAUGAGGCCAGGGUGCUAGAAAACACUGAGUUUCUGCAUAUGCAUAUAUACAUAUACACAUACAAUGUAUGCAUAUUCAAAAACAUUUUCAUAUACAUCAUAUACAUAAACAUCUGCAUGUAUUUUUUCAAAUACAUUUUCAUAUAUAUCAUAUACAUACACACAUAUAUCAUACGCAUCUACAUCUAGAUCUAUAUCAUCUGCAUCUGUACUACAUACACAUAGACAUAUACAUGCAUGUGCAUGUAUAAUACAUAUAUUUCAAAAUAUAUAAAAGCAGAUAUUUGAAAUAGUCUUUGAUAACUGAAUGUGGUUAAAUAAUCUCUGUAUUUUAAGCACUUAUCUCACCUUCUGCCAAACAGAACUCAUUAGGAGUCCUACUUUAACGGAAGGUGGGAAAGUAUAUUUUAGCCAGUUUCAGAAUUCCUUUCAGGGGCAGGAAGUACUCUUGCUUAGCACAUUGCACUGAAGGUGAAGUCAAAGUCUGAGGGCCUUGGGAGCACUUUCUUUCCCACCCUUCCACAGGACGGUGAGAUCCAGUUCCCAAAAGUUGUCCUCUGACCUCUACAGACACACACCAUGACAGUGUGUGUGGGUGUGUGGGUGUGUGCGCAUUCUUGCACAUGCACACAAAAU